rnacentral:rRNA from 1 species
CAGAGUGACAGGUGGUGCAUGGUUGUCGUCAGCUCGUGUCGUGAGAUGUUGGGUUAAGUCCCGCAACGAGCGCAACCCUUGAUCUUAGUUGCCAGCAUUCAGUUGGGCACUCUAAGGUGACUGCCGGUGACAAACCGGAGGAAGGUGGGGAUGACGUCAAAUCAUCAUGCCCCCUUAUGACCUGGGCUACACACGUGCUACAAUGGGCAGACCAAAGGGCAGCGAAACCCGCGAGGUUAAGCCAAUCCCACAAAUCUGUUCUCAGUUCGGAUCGCAGUCUGCAACUCGACUAAAGAAGCACAAAUCACUAGUAAUCGCGGAUCAGAA